rnacentral:rRNA from 1 species
AUGGACCCUGUGGACCUUCCUUCCAAAGUCAUCCUCGAUGCUAUGUUUGACAAGGUCGGCCUUCCAACAGCCGCAUACUCUGCACGUGCAGUUCAUCGCGGGUGCCUUGAAGUCACUGUCGCCUUUCAUCCAAUUGCCAGUGAACUGGAGCGUCCUGUUAGUCAGACAUAUAUUUCAACCUCUGCUUUCACUGAUCUGGAAGAAGUGCAGAAUCAUGUUGCGCGUAAAGCCAUGGAAUUCAUGGAGCAGGAACACAGUGUGGUCCCAGGUAAUUAUAACUAUGGCAAACUUCAGUCUGCUAGGCUUAACAACGAGUCACUGCGUGAGCGUCUGAAAGAAAAGGACCGCAAUAUCGAAAUACUGAAAAAGAUCAAUACAUCUCUAGCGCAGCAAAUGGAAGAGAAGAGCAACACUCUUGACUCCAUUAUGAAGAUAAACAAAGACAUGAUGGAGAAGGUGGCUGAAAAAGAUGUUGCCAUUGAAUCCAUCAAAAAUGUCAAUCAAACACUACUGAAGCAGCUUGGUGAGAAACAAGUGAUAAUAAAAAAACUCAUCAAAGGCUGGGAUAACUCACUGGAUACUGGAUUUUCAGCAACCAUCCAACUUCAGUGCCUGAUUGAUGAGGGCAUGUCCCCUGGAUCAACGCAGGCAGACAUUGAGCUCAAUGCGACUCUCCAGAGUGCUCAGCACAUAUGUGAGUACCUUGAGCAGAACACCAUCCUUGCUGUUGAGUACCUGCAGUCCAUUGGGACAUAUCCAUAUGACCCAAAGCCAGGCUUUACUGAUGAGGAAGACAACUGUUCAGUGGACCCCGAACCCGUGCCACCAGAGAAUCCACCCUACAUGAGAAGUUGGCUGGAUGAUGAGGAGAUCUUUGACAGUGAAGGUAAUUGCUCUGCAGACUUCGACACUUUGGCCGAGGAGCACUUCUGA